AGGGUUUGAUCAUGGCUCAGAACGUACGCUGGCGGCACGCCUAACACAUGCAAGUCGAACGCAGUAGCAAUACUGAGUGGCAAACGGGUGAGUAUAAUGUGGGAAUCUGCCUUUUGGUUUGGAAUAACACGAGGAAACUUGUGCUAAUACCGGAUAAGCCUUUACAGGGAAAGUUUUAACGCCGAAAGAUGAGCCCGCACUUGAUUAGCUAGUUGGUAAGGUAAUAGCUUACCAAGGCAACGAUCAAUAGCUGUUCUUAGAGGAAGACCAGCCACAUUGGGACUGAGACACGGCCCAAACUCCUACGGGAGGCAGCAGUGGGGAAUCUUGCACAAUGGGGGAAACCCUGAUGCAGCGAUGCCGCGUGAGUGAAGAAGGCCUUUGGGUUGUAAAACUCUUUCGUCGGGGAAGAAAAUGACUGUACCCGAAUAAGAAGGUCCGGCUAACUUCGUGCCAGCCGCCGCGGUAAUAC
rnacentral:rRNA from 1 species